CCCGGUCAUCGGAUGAUCUAAGCCAUGCGAGUCAUUGUAGUAAUACAGGCAGACGGCUCAGUAACGCGUACUCUACUAACCUAUGGACGGGAAUAACCUCGGGAAACUGACCAUAAUGCCCGAUAGAACACUAUGCCUGGAAUGGUUUGUGUUCCAAAUGAUUUAUCGCCGUAGGAUGGGACUGCGCCCUAUCAGUUUGUUGGUGAGGUAAUGGCCCACCAAGACUAUUACAGGUACGGGCUCUGAGAGGAGUGGCCCGGAGAUGGGUACUGAGACACGGACCCAGCCCCUAUGGGGCGCAGCAGGCGAGAAAACUUUGCAAUGUGCGAAAGCACGACAGGUUAAAUCCGAGGGUUUUCGGCUAAGAAAACCUUUUGCCGGCCCUGAAAACACCGAUGAAUAAGGGGUGGGCUAGUUCUGGUGUCAGCCGCCGCGGUAAAACCAGCGCCUCAAGUGGUCAGGAUGAUUAUUGGGCCUAAAGCAUCCGUAGUCGGCUUUGUUAGUUUUCGGUUAAAUCUGUACGCUCAACGUACAGGCUGCCGGGAAUACUGCAGAGCUAGGGAGUGGGAGAGGUAGACGGUACUCGGUAGGAAGGGGUAAAAUCCUUUGAUCUAUUGAUGACCACCUGUGGCGGAAGCGGUCUACCAAAACACGUCCGACGGUGAGGGAUGAAAGCUGGGGGAGCAAAACGGAUUAUAUACCCGGGUUAGCCCAGCUGUAAACUAUGCAAACUCAGUGAUGCAUUGGCUUGUGGCCAAUGCAGUGCUGCAGGGAAGCCGUUUAGUUUGCCGCCUGGGAAGUACGUACGCAAGUAUGAAACUCCAAUGAAUUGAC
rnacentral:rRNA from 1 species